GAAGGUGCGCCUUACAGUGCGGAAAAUACGGUAAUAUUAUUUUGAAGUAACGCUACUCUUACUAGAGUAAAAAUUUCUGCUACUCUAACCACCUCUGCUUCUUGUAAUGUCACCUGGCGUACACCACCGUUUCCCAACGUGAAACCAACAAUCGAAACUAACAGAAAAUAGCGCUGGCGCGACAUCAAACAAGUCUGAGUGCAACAAAGGAAAGCAGACCGCACACGUAGUAUAAUGAAAUACCAGAUAUGCAUCGCAAUGGCGUACCGCACGCAGGCUAUUUUUAGACCGUGACGUCGCAUCAUAAAGCGGAAGUAAAGCCGAAGUGGGACAUUAUAGACCCGCACUCGCAUAGACACAACGUAAUUUGUGCUACUUUUCCCCGGUAAUCUUUCAAAAACGAACUUGCCGAUCACGCAUUGCUUUUUUGGAACUUGUAGAAACACUAUAGAAAUUACGACACAUGAAGGAUGUUUUCUUCAUACGUUUCUGGAAACCAAAAACUCGGGAGGAAAAAUGUGAAGACUGAAUCAACUUGCGCGGAGUUUAACACCAGCUCGGUGAAUCCAUUCACAUUUCAUAUGCAUAAAACAUUAUGUUGGGUUGGCAUGGUCUUUCAGAGGACAAAGAGAGUUCUCAGGUAGUCCUGAUCGGCCGCCACGCUCCAAGAUUCAGCCUCCAGACUCUGACUGUCGCGCUCCAGCCCAUCUCGCAGCGAAGAAUAAUGACCAUCUGGAGGACAUGCAUUUUAUGACUUAUUGUAUUAUGGUCAUGAAUGUCUACCUAGUGUCAAAGAGGAGCUGACCUUCCAGGUUGAUGGGCUCAGUCAAGGGAAGGGACUCUUCCAAAGCAAGCCUCCCUCGCAGCGCAUCCACCUCAUCCAUCCGUGCUGGACUGGAUCUAUUUGUGUCAUUGUUGGGGAAAAAAGACCAUUGCUCAGAAAACUUCACUGAAUUGACCCAUAGGCUGCCACUGAUUGCACUAAACAUCCAAUUUAUUUUUUGCUGGGAGGACAGACAGAGAUCUGCCAGCUUCCUCCAUUAAAAAAGGAUUGGAAGCCGAUUGGCAUCAAUGGCACCCAAUGAGUUAAAUUGUAUUUAUGUUUUUUUUUCCAGCGGCUUGCGUGUGAUGUUGUGAAAUGUGUGUCAAGUAUGAGGAGGAACCAGUUGAUCAGAGUUGCGGCUGCCGGCGCACCUGAAGCUUGUUGCCGCAGUGUCGUUGUAUGAUGAUGAACCAGGUUGAGCUUUGUUUUUGGUGGGGCUUAUUGUCAUGCUUGGACCCGGGAAGAAGCCAGGGAUUCCAUAAGGAACACUGAACACAAAAUGGAAAAAGAAAACAUGAAAUGAAGCUAAUAGUAGGGGUGUGACAAUACAGUGGGGCAAAUAAGUAUUUAGUCAACCACUAAUUGUGCAACUUCUCCCACUUGAAAUAAUUAGAGAGGCCUGUAAUUGUCAACAUGGGUAAGCAUGGGUAACAUGGGUAAAAUCACAUUGUUUGAUUUUUAAAGAAUUUAUUUGCAAAUCAUAGUGGAAAAUAAUUAUUUGGUCAAUACCAAAAGUUAAUCUCAAUACUUUGUUAUGUACCCUUUGUUGGCAAUAACAGAGGCCAAAUGUUUUCUAUAACUCUUCACAAGCUUUUCCCACACUGUUUCUGGUAUUUUGGCCCAUUCCUCCAUGCAGAUCCCCUCUAGAGCAGUGAUGUUUUGGGGCUGUCGUUGGGCAACACGGACUUUCGACUCUCUCCACAGAUUUUCUAUUGGGUUGAGAUCUGGAGACUGGCUAGGCCACUCCAGGACCUUGAAAUGCUUCUUACGAAGCCACUCCUUUGUUCCCCUGGCUGUGUGUUUGGGAUCAUUGUCAUGCUGAAAGACCCAGCCACGUCUCAUCUUCAAUGCCCUUGCUGAUGGAAGGAGAUUUUCACUCAAAAUCUCUCGAUACAUGACCCCAUUCAUUCUUUCUUUUACACAGAUCAGUCGUCCUGGUCCCUUUGCAGAAAAACAGCCCCAAAGCAUGAUGUUUCCACCCCCAUGCUUCACAGUGGGUAUGGUGCUCUUCGGAUGCAAUUCAGUAUUCUUUCUCCUCCAAACACGAGAACCUGUGUUUCAACCAAAAAGUUCUAUUUUGGUUUCAUCUGACCAUAACACAUUCUCCCAGUGCUCUUCUGGAUCAUCCAAAUGCUCUCUAGCGAACCUCAGACGGGCCUGGACGUGUACUGGCUUCAGCAGGGGGACACGUCUAGCAGUGCAAGAUUUGAGUCCCUGGCGGCGCAUUGUGCUACUGAUAGUAGCCUUUGUUACUGUGGUCCCAGCUCUCUGUAGGUCAUUCACUAGGUCCGCCCGUGUGAUUCUGGGAUUUUUGCUCACGGUUCUUGUUAUCAUUUUGACGCCACGGGGUGAGAUCUCGCAUGGAGCCCCAGAUCGAGGGAGAUUAUCAGUGGUCCUGUAUGUAUAUCUUCCAUUUUCUAAUAAUUUCUCCCACAAUUAAUUUCUUUACACCAAGUGUUUUACCUAUUGCAUAUUCAGUCUUCCCAACCUGGUGCAGGUCUACAAUUUUGUCUCUGGUGUCCUUCGACUCCUUUUUGGUCUUGGCCAUAGUGGUGUUUAGAGUGUGACUGACUGAAGUUGUGGACAGGUGUAUUUUAUACCGAUAAUGAGUUAAAACAGGUGCCAUUAAUACGGGUAACGAGUGGAGCUUCGUUAGCCUCUUUGACAGCCAGAAAUCUUGCUUGUUUGUCGGUGACCAAAUACUUAUUUUCCACUGUAAUUUGGAAUAAAUUCUUUAAAAAUCAAACAAUGUGAUUUUCUGUCCCCCCCCCCCCACAUUCUGUCUCUCAUGGUUGAGGUUUACCCAUGUUGACAAUGACAAGCCUCUCUAAUAUUCUUAAGUAGGAGAACUUGCAUAAUUGGUGGUUGACUAAAUACUUAUUUGCCCCACUGUAUAUUCAAAUGGUGAUAUGUCGUGAAACUUUGUAUCCUAAAAGGUUAUCUAUAUGCUCUUGCCAUUACCUGGGGUAAUUCGAUUAGAAAAUAGCUUCGAAUCAAAUUUUGCUGAAUGGAGUAAGGUUCAGGGCGUCGCUAUCCAAUCCAUCCCACUUGUUCAUAUAGAAAACGCCUACAUCCAGUCCGCGUUUUCCCUGUGAAAUUGCUAGCGGUCGGUGCUCCCUUUUUAUUCCACAGUCCGUCUCUGCGCACGUCUAACCUUUGUUGUUUUGUGGUCAAAAGUUACAUCCCAGCUCUAAAAUAACGCUGCUACUUAGCUGCUGCUGCUAGAUAGUUAGUCUGAAAUGCAUUGUGAAGGACUCUUGUUACUACUAUCUGUAGGGUGACUUCCUUCUGGAGCAGCAGCUGUGUUUCCCACUUUACACAUAGAUGAGUACAGGAGCUGAGCUCAUUCAUGUAUGAUUAUCAUCAGCGGACAGUCAUAAUAAUACAGUACACAAAUAAUAAUCACUACACCACCUUUAUUGACGAGUACUUUAAAGGAUAGGAUAGGAGGGUAAUGAUAAAGUGGAGAAAGCCAAGAAGAUGAUUAUAUAUAUCAUACAUAUACUAUCAGUCAUUGUUAGCUGUUUGUGAAGUUUUGUGCUUGUACGCUACAUUCGCUUACAACCUGUAUAACUCUUGGGGCCUUAGUCCUCCCUGUUUUUAAAACCUAGUGAUGCCCCUGGCCUAGAAUGAUUUUCUGACCCAUUUAUCGAUAAUUGUUCUAUCACCAUAUUGUGAGACCAUCGUGAGCCUUAUAUCGCAAAGUUACUUAUUUUGAAGGGACAACAAAUUUACAGUAAUAAAAAAAACGCAAGCUAGCUACAUUACAUUGUAGCAAAGUGUCAAUUCUUUAGUGCUGGUUAUCUGUGUGGUUAAAAAUUGGCUUGGUGGAACACACGUAAUCUCAGAGUGUGCUGGCCAUCUGCCGCCUGUGGUCACUCGGACCCGGAAAGACAACAAAGGGGGAGGUUGAAUGAUUUAGAGUCAUGUUUGUGUGUUGACAGAGCAGCUCCCCUGCUAAAAAGCGACAAGAUGAGAGCAUUUGAUUCCAAACAAGGCUUAAUGACGCAUGCCAGGAGCUCAGGUCAGAGCUGCUCCUGGGGAAACGCGGUCACGAGCCAAAUGUGACACCAGAUCCGCAGCAGUUCAUACCUGCCGAAGGCGAGAAGUGUACCUCUCAUGUCUUAAUAAUGAACAAAAUGGCAGUCUUUUUAAUUGCAUGCCAGAAAAAUGUGAAAGCCUGAAAGACUGAGUUUUGCGCAAUAUGAACAAACCACUUUCAGCACCAACGCUGAUCAGAAUAGCAUGGAGUUACUCUAUAUACCCAUGAACUAUUCAGACCUUGUAUAACUUUUGCGGCAUGAGCAACAACAUGCACAUCUCAUGAAACGGGCUUCCCUUUGAACACUGUUGAGUUGUGAGGGCGCAGCCACACCUCAAAUGUUUAUGUCGCUCUGGAGUGAAAGCAGUACCAAAUACAGGUCAUUCCCCCACAACACAACAUACGGAACUAGACCAGCAAGUCUGUCAGGUGGCCUGCUGCAAAGCGCGCACAACAAACAAUGAAACGCCCACAACUCAACUAUAGGCACAAUGCAACACACAAACUGCAUUCUCAGUAGGGGUGGGAAACUCUGGGUAACGCACAAUACGAUUUGCGAUAUGGCAAUACAACAAUUAUCUAUUGCAGCAACGAUUAAUCGAUUAACUCGAGUAAUUCGAUUAGAAAAAAAGAUUCAAAUUAAUUUUUGCUGCUUCAAGUAUUUGUUUAAUUAAAAGCGAUGUUGUAAGGUUUGUUUUGAAAGUGUUUGCAAUUAGUUUUAUUGAUUUGGGUGGAUACAUUGCCCACUGGUGGCCACAGUGAAUAUGACAUAACUCAUUUCACAUGGCUGAAUCCAGCUGCUCCCUGUUAAUACCAACAUAAGCUAAGUUUUUGUUUGAGCUCAUGUUUUUUUAAAUUCAUUUGUAAUGUAGUUUAUAUGUAUAUUUAGCUGUUUU